UACGUAGGGUGCGAGCGUUAUUCGGAAUUAUUGGGCGUAAAGGGCGCGUAGGCGGCCUUGUAAGUCAAAGGUGAAAUCCCUCGGCUCAACUGAGGAACUGCCUUUGAAACUGCAAGGCUUGAGGCCGGGAGGGGGUAGCGGAAUUCCCAAUGUAGCGGUGAAAUGCGUAGAUAUUGGGAGGAACACCAGUGGCGAAGGCGGCUACCUGGACCGGUUCUGACGCUGAGGAGCGAAAGCGUGGGGAGCGAACAGG
rnacentral:rRNA from 1 species